rnacentral:rRNA from 1 species
GGGUUGUGAGGUUAAGCGACCAAGCGUACACGGUGGAUGCCCUGGCAGUCAGAGGCGAUGAAGGACGUGCUAAUCUGCGAAAAGCGCCGGUAAGGUGAUAUGAACCGUUAUAACCGGCGAUGUCCGAAUGGGGAAACCCAGUGUGACUCGUCACACUAUCAUUAACUGAAUCCAUAGGUUAAUGAGGCGAACCGGGGGAACUGAAACAUCUAAGUACCCCGAGGAAAAGAAAUCAACCGAGAUUCCCCCAGUAGCGGCGAGCGAACGGGGAGGAGCCCAGAGCCUGAAUCAGCAUGUGUGUUAGUGGAAGCGUCUGGAAAGGCGCGCGAUACAGGGUGAGAGCCCCGUACACAAAAGCGCACGUGCUGUGAGCUCGAUGAGUAGGGCGGGACACGUGGUAUCCUGUCUGAAUAUGGGGGGACCAUCCUCCAAGGCUAAAUACUCCUGACUGACCGAUAGUGAACCAGUACCGUGAGGGAAAGGCGAAAAGAACCCCGGCGAGGGGAGUGAAACAGAACCUGAAACCGUGUACGUACAAGCAGUGGGAGCCCCACCACUAAGCCAGUGGUGAACUCCACAUACGCAUCCUUUGCUGAGGAUACGGUUAACGGAGCGAAAGCGACGUUUAACCGCAAAAGAAGCAGAGGGGGCUUAGUGGUGGGGUGACUGCGUACCUUUUGUAUAAUGGGUCAGCGACUUAUAUUCUGUAGCAAGGUUAACCGCAUAGGGGAGCCGGAGGGAAACCGAGUCUUAAUUGGGCGUUAAGUUGCAGGGUAUAGACCCGAAACCCGGUGAUCUAGCCAUGGGCAGGUUGAAGGUUGGGUAACACUAACUGGAGGACCGAACCGACUAAUGUUGAAAAAUUAGCGGAUGACCUGUGGCUGGGGGUGAAAGGCCAAUCAAACCGGGAGAUAGCUGGUUCUCCCCGAAAGCUAUUUAGGUAGCGCCUCGUGAAUUCAUCUCCGGGGGUAGAGCACUGUUUCGGCCAGGGGGCCAUCCCGGCUUACCAAUCCGAUGCAAACUGCGAAUACCGGAGAAUGUUAUCACGGGAGACACACGGCGGGUGCUAACGUCCGUCGUGAAGAGGGAAACAACCCAGACCGCCAGCUAAGGUCCCAAAGUCAUGGUUAAGUGGGAAACGAUGUGGGAAGGCCCAGACAGCCAGGAUGUUGGCUUAGAAGCAGCCAUCAUUUAAAGAAAGCGUAAUAGCUCACUGGUCGAGUCGGCCUGCGCGGAAGAUGUAACGGGGCUAAACCAUGCACCGAAGCUGCGGCAGCGAACGUAUCACCCAAGACAACUUUACACAGUUGACGACUGACGGAGCGAAGCGACGUCAAAGCGUUUUACAACGUCGAGUUGGCUUAGGGAUACGUUCGUUGGGUAGGGGAGCGUUCUGUAAGCCGUUGAAGGUGGCCUGUGAGGGUUGCUGGAGGUAUCAGAAGUGCGAAUGCUGACAUAAGUAACGAUAAAGCGGGUGAAAAGCCCGCUCGCCGGAAGACCAAGGGUUCCUGUCCAACGUUAAUCGGGGCAGGGUGAGUCGACCCCUAAGGCGAGGCCGAAAGGCGUAGUCGAUGGGAAACGGGUUAAUAUUCCCGUACUUGGUGUUACUGCGAAGGGGGGACGGAGAAGGCUAUGUUGGCCGGGCGACGGUUGUCCCGGUUUAAGCGUGUAGGUGUGUGUUCCAGGUAAAUCCGGUUCACUUUAACAC